UACGUAGGGUGCGAGCGUUAAUCGGAAUUACUGGGCGUAAAGAGCGCGCAGGCGGUCGUUCAAGUCGAGUGUGAAAGCCCCCGGCUCAACUGGGGAGGGUCAUUCGAUACUGAUCGACUUGAAGGCAGGAGAGGGAAGUGGAAUUCCCGGUGUAGUGGUGAAAUGCGUAGAUAUCGGGAGGAACACCAGUGGCGAAGGCGACUUCCUGGCCUGUUCUUGACGCUGAGGCGCGAAAGCUAGGGGAGCAAACGGG
rnacentral:rRNA from 1 species